GCGAGUGAACCGGGAAGAGCUCAAAUUUGAAAUCUGGCGUGCUCAGUGCGUCCGAGUUGUAAUCUAUAGAGUCGUUUUCCGUGCCGGACUGUGUCCAAGUCCCUUGGAACAGGGUAUCAAAGAGGGUGAUAAUCCCGUACUUGACACAAUGACCGGUGCUCUGUGAUACGUCUUCUACGAGUCGAGUUGUUUGGGAAUGCAGCUCAAAAUGGGUGGUGAGUUCCAUCUAAAGCUAAAUAUUGGCGAGAGACCGAUAGCGAACAAGUACCGUGAGGGAAAGAUGAAAAGCACUUUGGAAAGAGAGUUAAACAGUACGUGAAAUUGUUAAAAGGGAAACGAUUGAAGUCAGUCGUGACUGAGAGGCUCAGCCGGUUCUGCCGGUGUAUUCCCCUCAGUCGGGUCAACAUCAGUUUUGUUCGGUGGAUAAGGGCAGUUGGAAGGUGGCACCCUCGGGUGUGUUAUAGCCAGCUGUCGCAUACAUCGGAUGAGACUGAGGAAUGCAGCUCGCCUUUAUGGCCGGGGUUCCACGUUCGAGCUUAGGAUGUUGACAUAAUGGCUUUAAACGACCC
rnacentral:rRNA from 1 species